GUGUAACAAGUAGGCCUGUGUGAGUCGGCAGCGAUCCGAUCCAGCUUCGGAUCUGGCCACUUCGGAUGGCAGCGAUCCAAUCCGGAGCUCCAGACUGGGUUUCCGCCUUGAUCCGGCCAAAGUGGCUCCAAAGC